rnacentral:ribozyme from 1 species
AAAUUUUAUUUUUUUUUGGCUUUUUGAGUUAAAAAAAAAAAAAAAAAAAACUCAACGGAGGGACAGAAAUAGGGGGGCAUUGUUUUCGUCACGGGCCGAAAUGUUUUUGUCCCUGCUAAAAAAGUUUCAUGUAGUUUGCGCUACUUUUUCUUGAAAACGAUUGACAAAAAAAUGAUGUAUUUUUGAGUGACAAAAA